UGGGGAAUAUUGGGCAAUGGAGGGAACUCUGACCCAGCAACGCCGCGUGAAGGAUGAAGGUUUUCGGAUUGUAAACUUCUGUCGCGAGGGACGAAGAAUGACGGUACCUCGUAAGAAAGCCCCGGCAAACUACGUGCCAGCAGCCGCGGUAAUACGUAGGGGGCAAGCGUUGUCCGGAAUGACUGGGCGUAAAGGGAGUGUAGGCGGCCGACCAAGUUAUGUGUGAAAGCCCGCGGCUUAACCGCGGAACGGCACAUAAAACUGGACGGCUGGAGUGCAGGAGAGGCAAGUGGAAUUCCUAGUGUAGCGGUGGAAUGCGUAGAUAUUAGGAGGAACACCAGUGGCGAAGGCGGCUUGCUGGACUGUAACUGACGCUGAGGCUCGAAAGCGUGGGGAGCAAACAGG
rnacentral:rRNA from 1 species